rnacentral:rRNA from 1 species
CGCGUAGGCGGUUUUUAAGUCAGAUGUGUAAUCCCCGAGCUUAACUUGGGAACUGCAUCUGAGACUGGAAGGCUAGAGUACUGGAGAGGGCGGUGGAAUUCCUCGUGUAGCGGUAAAAUGCGUAGAGAUGAGGAGGAACACCAGUGGCGAAGGCGGCCACCUGGACAGUAACUGACGCUGAGGCGCGAAAGUGUGGGUAGCAAACAGGAUUAGAUACCCUGGUAGUCCACGCUGUAAACGAUGAACACUUGGUGUGGAGGGAGUUGACCCCUUCCGUGCCGGAGCUAACGCGUUAAGUGUUCCGCCUGGGGAGUACGGUCGCAAGGCUGAA